rnacentral:rRNA from 1 species
GAUGAACGCUGGCGGCGUGCCUAAUACAUGCAAGUCGAGCGAAUGGAUUAAGAGCUUGCUCUUAUGAAGUUAGCGGCGGACGGGUGAGUAACACGUGGGUAACCCGCCCAUAAGACUGGGAUAACUCCGGGAAACCGGGGCUAAUACCGGAUAACAUUUUGAACCGCAUGGUUCGAAAUUGAAAGGCGGCCUCGGCUGUCACUUAUGGAUGGACCCGCGUCGCAUUAGCCAGUUGGUGAGGUAACGGCUCACCAAGGCAACGAUGCGUAGCCGACCUGAGAGGGUGAUCGGCCACACUGGGACUGAGACACGGCCCAGAGUCCUACGGGAGGCAGCAGUAGGGAAUCUUCCGCAAUGGACGAAAGUCUGACGGAGCAACGCCGCGUGAGUGAUGAAGGCUUUCGGGUCGUAAAACUCUGUUGUUAGGGAAGAACAAGUGCUAGUUGAAUAAGCUGGCACCUUGACGGUACCUAACCAGAAAGCCACGGCUAACUACGUGCCAGCCGCCGCAGUAA